rnacentral:misc_RNA from 1 species
GAUGAAGAACGUAGCGAAAUGCGAUAAGUAAUGUGAAUUGCAGAAUUCAGUGAAUCAUCGAAUCUUUGAACGCACAUUGCGCCCUUUGGUAUUCCGAAGGGCAUGCCUGUUCGAGCGUCAUUAUCACCCCUCAAGCCCUCGGCUUGGUGUUGGACGGUUUGGUGGAGGCCCCCUCGGGGGCUCCUGCCCCUCCCAAAGACAAUGACGUCGGCCUCGUUGGACCCCCGGUACACUGAGUUCUUCACGGGACACGUAUCGGACACAUGGGUUUACGGGACACGGUCUGCCUCCCCUCAGGGAGAAUCUUUCUAAGGUUGACCUCGGAUCAGGUAGGGAUACCCGCUGAACUUAAGCAUAUCAAUAAGCGGAGGA